rnacentral:rRNA from 1 species
GGAGUUAGCCGGUGCUUCUUCUGUGAGUGAUGUCCUUCCUUCCGGCUAUUAACCCGCAGGCCUUCUUCCUCACUGAAAGUGCUUUACAACCCGAAGGCCUUCUUCACACACGCGGCAUGGCUGGAUCAGGGUUGCCCCCCAUUGUCCAAUAUUCCCCACUGCUGCCUCCCGUAGGAGUCUGGGCCGUGUCUCAGUCCCAGUGUGGCUGAUCAUCCUCUCAGACCAGCUACGGAUCGUCGCCUUGGUGAGCCGUUACCUCACCAACCAGCUAAUCCGACAUAGGCUCAUCCGAUAGCGCGAGGCCCGAAGGUCCCCCGCUUUCCCCCGUAGGUCGUAUGCGGUAUUAGCCUGGGUUUCCCCCAGGUUAUCCCCCCACUACCGGGCAGAUUCCUAUGCAUUACUCACCCGUCCGCCGCUCGCCACCAGGGAGCAAGCUCCCCGUGCUGCCGCUCGACUUGCAUGUGUUAGGCCUGCCGCCAGCGUUCAAUCUGAGCCAUGAUCAAACUCUGA